AACGAACGCUGGCGGCGCGCCUAAUACAUGCAAGUCGAACGAGAAGGUGUAGCAAUACACUUGUACAGUGGCGAACGGGUGAGGAAUGCAUGGGCAACCUACCCUCGAGUGGGGAAUAACCAGCCGAAAGGUUGGCUAAUACCGCGUACGCUUCCGGGUCUCCGGAUCCGGAAGGAAAGUCACACCGUGGGUGUGACGCUCAAGGAUGGGCUCAUGUCCUAUCAGCUUGUGGUGAGGUAACGGCUCACCAAGGCAACGACGGGUAGCUGGUCUGAGAGGACGAUCAGCCACACUGGCACUGCGACAUGGGCCAGACUCCUACGGGAGGCAGCAGUGGGGAAUAUUGGACAAUGGGCGAAAGCCUGAUCCAGCAAUGCCGCGUGAGUGAUGAAGGCCUUAGGGUUGUAAAGC
rnacentral:rRNA from 1 species